UACGUAGGGGGCAAGCGUUGUCCGGAUUUAUUGGGCGUAAAGAGCUCGUAGGUGGUUCGGUAAGUCGGAUGUGAAAUCUCCAGGCUCAACCUGGAGGGGUCAUUCGAUACUGCCGUGACUAGAGUUCGGUAGGGGAGUGUGGAAUUCCUGGUGGAGCGGUGAAAUGCGCAGAUAUCAGGAGGAACACCCGUAGCGAAGGCGGCCCUCUGGGCCGAUACUGACACUGAGGAGCGAAAGCGUGGGGAGCGAACAGG
rnacentral:rRNA from 1 species